rnacentral:rRNA from 1 species
AGUCGAACGCGCAGUUCGCUGUAGCAAUACAGUGGAUGGGCGCGUGGCGAACGGGUGCGUAACACGUGGAUAACCUUCCUUCAGGUGGGGAAUAACCCCGCGAAAGCGGGGCUAAUACCGCAUAACAUGACGAUGGCACAUGCUGUUGUCCUCAAAGCCGCAAGGCGCCAGAAGAGGGAUCCGCGGCCGAUUAGCUUGUUGGCGAGGUAAUGGCUCACCAAGGCUUUGAUCGGUAGCCGGUCUGAGAGGAUGAUCGGCCACACUGGAACUGAGACACGGUCCAGACUCCUACGGGAGGCAGCAGUGGGGAAUCUUGCGCAAUGGGCGAAAGCCUGACGCAGCAACGCCGCGUGGGGGAUGAAGCUUCUCGGAGUGUAAACCCCUUUCGACCCGGACGAAUGCCCGCAAGGGUUUGACGGUACGGGUAUAAGAAGCCCCGGCUAACUACGUGCCAGCAGCCGCGGUAAAACGUAGGGGGCCAGCGUUGCUCGGAAUUACUGGGCGUAAAGGGUCCGUAGGCGGUGUGGCAAGUCGGAAGUGAAAUCUCUGGGCUUAACUCAGAGGCUGCUUCCGAAACUGCUGUGCUCGAGUGCGAGAGAGGCGAGUGGAAUUGCGGGUGUAGCGGUGAAAUGCGUAGAUAUCCGCAGGAACAUCCGAGGCGAAAGCGGCUCGCUGGAUCGCAACUGACGCUGAGGGACGAAAGCUAGGGGAGCAAACAGGAUUAGAUACCCUGGUAGUCCUAGCCCUAAACCAUCAGACUUGGGGUUUGCCUGUACGGGGCAAGUCCCGUAGCUAACGCGUUAAGUCCUGCGCCUGGGGAGUAC